AGGACAGUGUUUGUGGCUGUAACUGCACGUGGGUUACACAAGGCAGGGCAUGCACAGCUGUGGAGCUGGGCUCUGUCCGAGGAUGGAAAUUGUCCAGUCUGGGUUUGAAAUGCAGCCUGAGCAUAACUGCUGGGUCGGGUCAAACCUGAGGUGCUGAUAGCUCUGGACAGACCCUGGCUGGAGAAACAAGCUGCAAGCUUUGUCUGUCUGUACAAACCGGCUUCCAUACCCAGAGUUCCACUGCCUGAGUCCUAACGUCCUGAAGGUGUCCCAACUACAAGGAUUGCCUCCUCCCAGGAGAAAGCCCUUGUGGAGAGGCCCUUGCUGUUGAGUGGAAGUGGAUGAUGCAGCCGAGGCAGAUGAGCCACUAGAGGAAGAGGGAAGAAAACAACUCAUUUGCCAGAUAUGGACAAGACACCCCACAAAAUGUAUAGAAAUGAGGGUGAUUUUCCUGUGCUUGAUCAAACAUAAAAAAACAUGUUAAAAAAGCUCGAUGUAAUUUAAAAAUCUUUUUGAUGUGAUUUUGAAGCUGUGUUUUGAUAGCUUUUCCUCCACUCACAGGAUACAGAUUGCUAUUCCAUAGUAAAUGGGGUGCAAUUAGUGACUAUCCACAGCUGAAGACAGUAGACAGCAGGAGCCCCGAGGCUUUUCUGAUCUUCACUGCAUCUGGACCAAUAUUCUCCUGUGUCUUGUGGUGCACAAUUCCCCACAAAGGAACCACUUGCUGUUGUGUUUCUCUCACGUCUCUUUGGCAAGGAGCACAUGGGGUUUUCCCUUGCCCUGCUGCUUGGGGAAUGGUCUGUUUCCUAGGAGCAUCUGGAAAUUUCAUCUGAAAAGCUUUUGUUACGUCAGGGCCUUGGGACCUGAUGACGUCUGUGAUCUUUUCUGGUCUCCCAAAGGGAAUUUGGAGAGCAUUUUUUUACCCAUUGUUGGGACGUUUGAGGCACAUUCUGCAAACCUUUCUGCACUGAAUGUCUGUUACAUGGUUUUAAUGGGUCUUACAACCAUUUGCAGUCAUAACCGUUCAGAUUAUCACGAGCCGUGCUAAUACUUGCCAUGAUUUAAUCUAUAUAAAUCAAGUAAAUAUCGAUUUAUUAAAUUUUCGGGGUUGUUCCUUGUAUGGAAAAGCCAUUUUGCGGUUAAUAUGUUCUAAGACUGACAAUUUGGCUUUAUGAAUUGCAGAUUGUUUUUUGUCUCAGCUUUAUGGUAGGCUCAGAGCAAUGUGAGACUCUGCUACCCAUCCCUGUAUUGUUUUCUUUCCACAUCUCACCAGGAUGAUUCAUGGUUUGGGGCCCAGAGAUGUUCCUGGUUUGUCUGAUACCCACAGUUUCUAUAUUGCAUGGCUGAUUCACAGUGCUACACAAUGCAAGAUACAGUGGUUUGUGUUGACUGACUCUCAGAUAGCUGCCCUAACAUAUUUAGUUUAGACUUAUCCAUCUACCAGCCUGUGCAGGAUAUGGCAUCUGCUCCCUUGAAUUUAGUUAUUCUUUGUCUGAUUUAUAACACAGGCCUGUAAUAAAUUAUCUCAGCACAGUUGGAGUGCACUGAACUGCAGAUUAAGAGCUGGAAUGAGUGGGGAAGGCAGGGACUUCAUAAACCAGAUUUAUGGAAUCAAAACUCUCUUUUUUUUUGUUUUGAUUCCAUAGCAGAAGCUAACAAAAAGUUAUCUUAACUGCUAACUUUAUAACAUAUUUCAGCAAACUCUUUCCUAACUCUGCUGAUCUCAUAUAAUUAACCUGUGCUUUUUAAUAAACAUCCUGCAACUCCAGCAAGUGCUGCAGAAAGCAAAGACUGUUUCAUCAUGUUGAAGUCCAGUGCAUUGAUGUGUUUAUUAAAUCUGUUGAUAUUUUCUUCACUGAGACCUUUGUAAAAUGCUGUUUUCAUGUGGAUACAAGUCCUCAGAGGCAGCGAAUGUCCUGCAGCCUCUUCCUGCUGUUCUCUUCACUCAGGAAGAGUCAGUCUUUAGGCACUGGUCAAGUAUUACUCCGCUGUGUCUGUUUAGUUCUUAAUCUGCAUGUGUGUUUAGUUCUUAAUUUGUGUUAACAAAGCAGGCACUGAGCUUCAUCUUCUCCCUUAAUGGGAACAGUAACAGGCUGUGCAUGGCCCUCGCGGCACAGCAAGAAGGGGAAAAAAAUAUUUGUGGAGCUAAAUGGAGGUGGGAGGAGGUGUGUACCCGUGGCAGCACUUAGAACCCCAAAGUGCAAGACAAGGCUUCAAAGGUUACAAACCCAGGAGAAGCUGAAGUAACCUGGUCAGUAACCUGGUCAGUAACCUGGAACACAGGGAAUGACAAAAAGUACCUUUCUGAGGGGAUGAUCUCAAAGAGCUUGUGUUGAGUAGAGCGGCUGUGAACUUGGUAAGAAGCAUCGCUGCCCAAAGCUGAGUUUAAGGAGGGUGCUCAGCAGGAGGGUGGGAUUCCUGCAGGAGACACAGACUGGUGAUGGCAAGCACAGCCUGACUACAUCCAACGAAGACCAGUUAGAGACAAAACCAGAUAAUUAAUAAAAACUCUUGUAAGCAAGACACCUUUGCAAUAAAAAAGGGUAGGCUUCAGAGAAACAAGAUUGAUGGGACAAGAGAUUCUUCACAUUCAAUUUUGUGUCACAGGUUUCAAUGCAGUAAUUUGGCAAUUUAUUAUGGUGAUGAAUCUCUCUUGUUGAUUAUUAAAAUUAUUGCCAGGAAUAAUUUAAAUUCUAGGUUUAUAAAGAGGCUGUGGUGAGUUCAGGAUGCUCAAGCUCUUAGAGUUGAAUUAAUUUGUUUUUAUUUAACUCUCAGAGUUGAAUUAAUUUGUGUCAGAAGUUGGAUUCUAGAAAGCACUCAUUAAAAGUGAGUCAGAAAUAAUUUCUGUUUGUUUUUCUCAAAAAUACUUUAUGUAAAAGAAAUUUAAUUUUAGUAAAUUUAUUAGUGUCUCUUGGUAGAAAAGCAAUGGAUUGACAGUUGAUAUAAAUUGUUACAAUUGCUUAAAAGGUCAAAAACUAUAGCACUUAGAGACAAACCAUUCUAUUAGUCUAGAAAGCUUUCAUUAACAUGCCCACAUAUAUUGUGUAUAACCAGUGAAGCUAAAAGCCUGCAUUUCCCAAGGUUUAGGAGCUGCUCCAUGAUUUUGACUGCAUGAGUUUCCUGUCCGUACUUCCAGGAGCUGCUGGUUAAGGGAAGCUGUUACAAUGGCCCUUUGCAGGGUGGUUUUCUCUCUGUCAUGUUUAACCCAGCCAUGUCUAAGAGAGCCAAGAAAAUAAAGUCCAGACAGUUCUGUACAACACCUCUGUCCAGGCAGUGAUCUUAUUUAAUGCAGGUCACAGUACCCAUCCUCAUGGUCACUAAAGGACUAGAAGAAAUGCUGUUUCUCUGUCUGAAAUUCUCUUUUUCUAGUGACUUGCCAUUGUAGCACUUAGAGAAAUAAACCUGAAGCUUACAAAACAGAGUAAGAGGAUGAGUUUUGAUGAAACUGACCUUGGACAGACCCCAUGAGGUGAUAGAGCAUGGCUUUAGAUAAAUCCCUGUGUUGGUGCUGCCCAGCAGUGAUGCUGCAGUGUCUCCCACAGAGGCAUACAACAAUAACCCAGGAAAUGCUGUUGUGGGGUUUGAAACUGGCCAGGUGUUUUUUCUUCCUUAAGGAACUGGUAAAUGCUCAUUUUCCUGUUAUCGAGUCCAUUUGUGGUAAUGCUGGACAGUGUGAGCUGUUUCAUUCGUGUUUGUGGAAACCUGCAGCUCCCAAGAAAUGGGUUUGCAUCGCCCUUGUUUGUUCUCCUGCAGAGUUCCAAAAUGGUUGUGAAUUAAGGGGCACCUCCUGUGCCUCCCAGUGUGGGCAUGGGAGCUGCCUGCUACAUAUUUAAAUGUUACUGCUUCUUUGACAUCUACUUUCACAUGAAAUGCUAUAGAUUAAUAACUAAUUACUUUUUUUUUGAA